rnacentral:misc_RNA from 1 species
AGGCUACACGAAAUUUUUGCUGGUGAAAGGCUCUGCUUACACACCAUCCUCUCCAGACGUUAUGUCGUUAUCGUCAUGUGGCAUUUCACUCUAUUUGUAUAGGUAAUGGGGCUGAGGAAUUCCAGAAAUAUUACUAAUAGAACCAGAAAAUGUGUAUACUUCCAAAAUUUGAAUCAUGUGGCUUUGAAGACCAGUUGCCAGCACUCA